rnacentral:rRNA from 1 species
AUGCACACGCAUCUGCACAGGCGCACGGCCGCGCUCGAUUGCGAGCCCGUGGUCCUACUUCGUCUUGCCGCCGCCAUGAACGAGGCGACCUCGAGCUCGCCCUUGAGUCUUCCCGCGCACACAAGUCUUCUGCACGUUCUCACGCACCCGCACCUCCUUAACCUAUUCCGCACGCCCGUCGCGGCCUCUCAAUCCCCGCCAUCGCCACGGCUGCCCUCGCCGGCGCCAUCGUCGCAGCCGUCGUCUUCUCUGUCUAAACAGAGAAGCUCGACCCUGGGCUAUCUCUUAGAAGGUUGCGCCCUUAUCUAUCAAUAUAAGUCAUGGCAGUGCAGUGGUUCGCACCACGCUGCUCUAGCCAAGGGAUCUGGGGUUCAAAUCCCAGCUUCCCCUAUUUUUUUUCAUUAUCAAACUUCAUUAUCGUCUUAG